UUUGGAAUGCCCUCUAUAAUUAGAUCACACUAGUUCAUGUGAAACAAUUUGAGAAUAAUUAAAUGCUAAACCAUGCAGUACAGGCUAAAACGCAAUAGAAGCUGAGACAAGGGAGAGACCAAUUUGGGCUGUAGCAAUUGGAAAACUGGACAAUUUGCAAUCAGAAGAAUGGAAAGGACUUAGCCAGGAUGAGGAGAUAUAAAGAUCUUCAUAUCAGGCAUGGUGGAGAGGCAAGAGUUAAAGGUUAUUUCAAAGCCACCAAAGAAGCCUACCUGUAUGACAGCGGGAGCCAGUCCACCCAGCUGAGCAAUCACACUGAUAUGGUGCCACACAGCGGCCGCCAUUCAGGCAGGGAAGAAUACAUAUUGCUGGAAAAGACUAUAGCCUAAAUCAAGUUGGCAGAUCACCAUGACCAUGAGUAGAGAGGAUACAAGGGGCCUGUUCAGCAGAGGGGAAGAGUGAGAAGGAAGGAAGAGAGAACAUGGAACUCAAAAUGUUAGAAAAUGAUCAUCAAAAAUUGUAUUUAUGUGUAACUGGGAAAAAAUAAAUCAUUACAAAAACAAACCCCAAACUUCCAGGCAUUCCACAUUAAGUGUUGAUGUCUUAAGCUUGACCUUGUUAGCAAACAAGUUGGGUAGCCAUAUAGCUAUUUAAGACCCCCAUUUCCAAAGACACACAUUUCACUUAUUUAGUGACCGUGCCAGCAUCUCUGUUGACUACGCAUGUCAUUCCACUUUAUAGCUUUGAAGUUUCCUACCCAGAAUACAUUUGGCACGGACCCAAGGACACCAAGAGUGAUUCUAUGGAAGGUCAGGGCUAAACUCUCUCUACUUUCUUUUCUAUAUCAGGCCAUACAGGCAGAGGCAGAAAAGGUUCUGUUUGGCUGGUCCCCUCCUUCCCUCCUACCUGGCAGGAAUAGGGACUGCCUCUGACCCCUACUUUUCCUGUGAGGGGACCACAGGACCUCUGGAGAUUUAAUAGUAAGUACAUGAGGAAUACACUCUUUACUAGCAGUGGCAGCAGAACUAAAAGACCAGACACAGAUUCUCCCCCUGCUUCUUCCUUUUACAGAUGUGAUCCGUGGGGUCGAAGUCCAGAACAUAAAGACAUAUCACAGAGGUUUCUUAGAAGGUACCUGUGUUCUCUCCCAACAUGGGAUCAAAGAAUGGAGCUAGAAGGACCUUAAACUAUAAAUGAACUUUAAAAAAAACCCUUGCUUUCUGUCUUGGCAUCAAUACUAAAUAUUGGUUGCAAGAUGGAGGGAGCAGUAAGGGCUAAGUAAUUGGAGUUAAGUGACUUGCCUAGGGUCACCUAGUUAGGAAGUGUCUGAGGUCACAUUUGAACUCAGGCCCUCUUAUCUCUAGGUCUGGCACUCUAUCCCACUGAGCAACCUAGCUGCCUCUAUAAAUGAUCUUUUAAACCAAUUGCCUCAUCUGUAGAUGAGGAAGCAUGCCAUGCGGCAUUUUAACUAAUUACGUGGAAAGGCAUCAUGGAAUUUAGAUAGUGUCCUGGCUUUGGAGUCAGAAAGGACUGGGUUCAAGUCUUGCCUCAGUCACAUAAGGGCUAUGUAAUCCUGGACAUGUCACAUUAAUGUUCAGUGCCCAAGCAGCUCUCUAAGACCUAGCAGGUGCUUUGGUUGUGGGAGUUUUAUCACAAGAAAUUUCCAAAAUAGAGGCAUGGGUUAAACAAACAAAUCUGAUUGCAAACCUAAAGAAAAAGAAAGAAAUCCUUCCAGCUAGAGACUCAACUACCUAAAUUGUUGCAUGAUCGUUGAUCAGAUUUUCUCCUAAGUCUCAUUUAUGGGUUGACCCAAUAUGCUGGAGACUCGUGUCUUAGCCUUUUUUUAUUACGGGGAUAUUCAUGAAGUACUCAGGCUAUCUGUUAUUUUUUGCUCUUGCUACAUGGCUGGACUACUUACUGCCUUUUCCAGGCACUCGUAUCUUUCACGACGUUUCUUGCAUUAAAGUCAUAACUGAUAAACUGCAGCUCACUUAUGCCCACCUUAAAUCUCUCCCUUGUCCUUUGGGUCACUUGCGAGUUCGGUUCUUUGGCAAUGAUCAGGUCCUAUGCAGUCAGAUAGGAACGCUGCAAGAUGUGAGUGGCUUUUCACUUCAAGAAAUGCCUUGGGCUCAUUGAAUGUGCUGUGGUAUUUUGCCUAUUUUGUUGUUGCUGUUCAGUAAAGCAUCCAGUUCAUUGUCUAUCAGCAAUGCCUGUCCCAGAUUGAUGCAACAGAUGAACAGCUUAAUGAGAUCUCUGUCUAAAAUAGGCAUUUUCCAUCUACAUGGUUUUUCCUGUAUGGAUCAGCCAAACUUCUUCUUUUCUAAAUCCUCACCUUCCAUCUUAGAAUCAAUGCUGUGUGUUGGUUCCAAGGCAGAAGAGUGGCAAGGACUAGGAAAUGGGGGUCAAGUGACUUAGCCAGGGUCAUAGAGCAAGGAAGUGUCUGAGGCCAGGUUUGAACCCAGGACCUCCUGUCCCUGGGCCUGACUCUCAAUCCACUGAGUCAUCUAGUUGUUCCCAAUUAUUGAUUUCAUUUAGGAUUAUCUGUUAUAUUUUGAGGCUUGUCUAUUCAAUGCAUAAUGUUAUGUUGAGGAAUAAAGAAUACUGUAUUCAUAUUGCAACAAAUAAAUCCCAUUUUCUACUCUUUAAAUUUACCUUGUACAGAACACUUAAAAACAAUUUCCUAAAAUGUAUUUCUUGAAAUCUUUUCAAUAUUGAAAAUGUUGCUUUUUUUUUUUUUAAACUCUUACUGUGCCUUAGAGGAAGAAGAUCUAGGAGGGCUAGGCAAUUGGCGUCAAAUGCUUAGUCAUAUAGCUAGGAAGUAUUUGAGAUCAGAUUUGAACCCAGGUCCUCUUGACUCCAGGCCUGACACUAUCCACUGUGCUACCUAGCUGCCCUCAAUUUUUUCUAAUUACAGUAACUGCUCUCAUAAUUGCCUAUAUUAAAAAUUAAUAACAACUUCUCUUAGAAUCCUUCACUUUCUUUAAGCCCCAGAUCAAAUACCACUUCCUCUGGGAAGCUUCCCUGACCUCUCCAGUCAUGAAUAUUCUCUGCCUCUUCCUAUAUGCACCAGUAGAACACGGAGCCUUAAGUAGAGACUGUUUCCUUCUAAUCUUUGUAUGUUCAGCACAUGAUGGGUACUCAAUAUGUUUGUUGAAAUAAGUCACUAGAUUUUAAAGCUUAUGUACUCAUUUCAAUUAAUCUAUGAGUUUUCUCUGUAUAUUUUUAUGUAGAUUUCCCAAGAGACUUACUGAUAAAAAACAAAACAAAACAAAUUAAUUGUAGCCAAACCUCUGCA